CUUGUUGUGGGCAAAUCCAGUGUAUAUGCGCGUCGAUGCCGCCAGCAGUAACGAUCCGCCCUUCACCAGCUAUAGCCUCGGUUCCAGGACCAAUAAUAAUGUCUGUUCCCGGUUGAACAUCCGGAUUGCCGGCCUUACCUACCGCAGUGAUUUUGCCAUCUUUAAUACCAAUGUCGGCCUUUACUAUACCCCAAUGAUCAACAAUUAAUGCAUUAGUGAUAACCGUAUCCACGGCACCCCCAGCGCGUGUCACCUGGGAUUGCCCCAUGCCAUCACG
rnacentral:sRNA from 1 species